rnacentral:rRNA from 1 species
UAAGGAAUAUUGGUCAAUGGAGGCAACUCUGAACCAGCCAUGCCGCGUGCAGGAAGAAGGCCCUAUGGGUCGUAAACUGCUUUUUGAACAAGAGAAAACCCCGGUACGUGUACUGGGUUGAUAGUAUUGUUAGAAUAAGCAUCGGCUAACUUCGUGCCAGCAGCCGCGGUAAGACGAAGGAUGCGAGCGUUAUCCGGAAUCACUGGGUUUAAAGGUGCGUAGGCGGCUGUAUAAGUCAGUGGUGAAAGGCUGUGGCUUAACCAUGGGAUUGCCAUUGAUACUGUACGGCUUGAAUUAGGAUGAGGUUGGCGGAAUGUGACAUGUAGCGGUGAAAUGCUUAGAUAUGUCAUGGAACAUCGAUUGCGAAGGCAGCUGACUGGACCUUAAUUGACACUGAGGUGCGAAAGCGUGGGGAGCAAACAGGAUUAGAUACCCCGUAGUCCCUGAGCGGGCUGGCAAGGCGCAU